UCAAGCGAGCCAACCCGUCG
rnacentral:miRNA from 1 species